AAGCCCGUGAGAAUGCCCUCAAUCCCCCACCCGGGGACGAGGAGCAGGCAUCAGGCACAAACUUUAGCCCAAGACGCCUUGCCAUGCCACACCCCCAAGGGAAUUCAGCAGUGAUAGAUAUUAAGCCAUAAGUGAAAGCUUGACUUAGUCAGGGAUAAGAGGGCCGGUAAAACUCGUGCCAGCCACCGCGGUUAUACGAGAGGCCCUAGUUGAUGGACACGGCGUAAAGGGUGGUUAAGGUCCAAUACAAAUAAAGCCAAAAGACCUCUUGGCUGUCAUACGCCCCUGAGUUUCCGAAGCCCACGUACGAAAGUAGCUUUAAUAUUAUUCACCUGACCCCACGAAAGCUGAGAAACAAACUGGGAUUAGAUACCCCACUAUGCUCAGCCGUAAACUUAGGCGUUAUUUUACAAUAAACGCCCGCCAGGGUACUACGAGCAUUAGCUUAAAACCCAAAGGACUUGGCGGUGCCUUAGACCCCCCUAGAGGAGCCUGUUCUAGAACCGAUAACCCCCGUUAAACCUCACCACUUCAGGCCAUCCCC
rnacentral:rRNA from 1 species